rnacentral:rRNA from 1 species
GACGAACCGAGCGAACGUUGUUCGGAAUCACUGGGCUUAAAGGGCGCGUAGGCGGGCAUCAUAGUCUGUGGUGAAAUCCGGCAGCUUAACUGUCGAAUUGCCAUGGAUACUGGGUGUCUCGAGGGAGGCAGGGGUGCGCGGAACUGAUGGUGGAGCGGUGAAAUGCGUUGAUAUCAUCAGGAACUCCGGUGGCGAAGGCGGCGCACUGGUCCUUUUCUGACGCUGAGGCGCGAAAGCCAGGGGAGCAAACAGG